GUUGGCCAUUAUUUACGGAUUUUGAAGGCAUCACAGAGGGUUUAUGAUAUGUGUGUCGAUAAAUAAAUAAAAUAUUGAUUCUAAUUAACAACCAUAAUCCUAUCCGUCACAGACCUGCAAUGGUGAUAAGCAUUAAGCCCUAAGGCCAAAGACAAGCCAAUAAAAUCUCCUUGGUCCGUGGUAUUCAUAGUCAUACUUUACGGAGCACUACGAUAACGCUGUCACUAUGGGUAAUCAAAAUCAUACGAGUAACCCGUCAAACCGUCAAAUGAUAAUUGCAAUUGUAACUGAUGAAAUAUCCAAUAAAAGUGCGUCUUAUUUGCUCAGAACGUGCAGUAAAGCAAAUAUGUGAAAUAAAUAAAUGCUUGGUUAAGAACAAACUAUUUGACUGUGUAAAAAAGGGUUCAUUGGAUUUCGUGAAAAAUUGGAAAUUACGUAUACGUUCAUUAAAGCAAUUUACAUUUUAGUUGGAUGAAUGUAAAAUCCGCUGACGAUUUAUGAACAAAACGACGUGCAUCGAUUAACACCGCUACUAAACCUUCAUUGACAUCGUAAAUUACGAAUGGUAACUACUGCAUGACCCCGUCCUCGCUACAUGCUAGAAAGAAAUACCACCGCUGCAUCCGAAUUCAGUAAAUACAAAAGUACAGUGAACAAGUUCCAAGCAGUCACCCGUUGUGUUGACAUCGGAUCCACGAAAUUAACUAGAAAAUAUAAUGCGGGUGAAGUAGCGCCCGCGCCGCCGCGUCUUCGCUACAAAAUGUACAUAAUUAGAAAAGUUUUUACAAGCGGGCCGCAAGUCCUCGCUGUGACGGGCUGACACGGCUCCCUGUGUCCGGGCGCGGAUUUAUAAUUUUGCUCAACGAAUUAUUCACAAAUUGUACCGAACUUCCUUGAUGUUAUCUCUGACAUCUUUAUGAUUUUACUGUUAAUUAUUAUUUGACGCAGAUUAAAUUAUAAAUGGGAGCACA